UUGUUAUUUGAUUCUGUGAAUGUGUAUGGAAUGCCUACUGUCUGGUGUCAAUUCAGACAAUUUUGCAACGGUUUACUGUAUGUUCUGUCUAUUUGUCUGCCAAACUCUCAAACUUGUUGUCUUUCUUUUUGUCUUCCUCUUUGGGCACCGGUAGGCACAGAGUCAUUCCAGUAGGCACGGAGUCGUUCCACGAUGGACGUGAUGACCUGGCACCAAAACCGCUUAAUGUGUAUGAAGCUGUCUGCAUCGAGGGAAGAACCCAGCACUGAAGUGACACAAAUGAAAGAAGGGGACUUCUGCUCUGCUGGGUCUGCGACACUACUUAUCUGAGGAGUCCUCAAACAUCAGGAUGUAGGAAACUUGUGGUGAGAUGCCAAGAGCCAGCUUCACCGUGCUUUUGGGAGAUCAUCUACUACGUGAGCCUUGAGUAUCUACAAGCCAGCUGCUACAAGGUCCUGUACAAACUGUCAAUCUAAAUG